rnacentral:rRNA from 1 species
GAUGAACGCUGGCUACAGGCUUAACACAUGCAAGUCGAGGGACCGGCGCACGGGUGAGUAACGCGUAUCCAACCUGCCUCUGACUGAGGGAUAACCCGUCGAAAGUCGGCCUAAUACCUCAUGGUCAGGGAUGGGGAUGCGUCUGAUUAGCUUGUUGGCGGGGUAACGGCCCACCAAGGCGACGAUCAGUAGGGGUUCUGAGAGGAAGGUCCCCCACAUUGGAACUGAGACACGGUCCAAACUGCUACGGGAGGCAGCAGUGAGGAAUAUUGGUCAAUGGGCGAGAGCCUGAACCAGCCAAGUAGCGUGCAGGAAGACGGCCUAUGGGUUGUAAACUGCUUGUAUGCGGGGAUAGGUACCGCAUGAAUAAGGACCGGCUAAUUCCGUGCCAGCCGCCGCGGUAAUAC